rnacentral:lncRNA from 1 species
CUGUUCCUUUUAUGUAAAAGUUGUUAUUCAAUCAUUGUAUUAUAUAUGUUAAGUUGUUAUGCUGUUAUGAAUGAAAGUUAAUAGAGUAAUUAAAAAGUAUGAUAGCAAACAAUUCAAUUAAUUAAUCGCAAAUUAAUAAUAUGCCCAUAAAUAAACAAUAAAAUUAAAGUAAUGAGGCGUCCAUAAAUUAAAAUAGCAAUUUAUCAAUAUAGAAACAAUUAUGUUGUUGGUCCAUUGUAUUCAUCCCAUGACCUCUCUUAUUUA